rnacentral:rRNA from 1 species
UACGUAGGGCGCAAGCGUUGUCCGGAAUUAUUGGGCGUAAAGAGCUCGUAGGCGGCUUGUCACGUCGGGUGUGAAAGCCCGGGGCUUAACCCCGGGUCUGCAUUCGAUACGGGCAGGCUAGAGUUCGGUAGGGGAGAGCGGAAUUCCUGGUGUAGCGGUGAAAUGCGCAGAUAUCAGGAGGAACACCGGUGGCGAAGGCGGAUCUCUGGGCCGAUACUGACGCUGAGGAGCGAAAGCGUGGGGAGCGAACAGG